AGUGAACGCUGGCGGCGUGCUUAACACAUGCAAGUCGAACGAGAACGGGUUAUAGCUUGCUAUAAUUGUCAGCUAAGUGGCGCACGGGUGAGUAAUGUAUAGGUAAUAUGCCUCUUACUAAGGGAUAACAAAUGGAAACGUUUGCUAAUACCUUAUACUCCUUAUUAACAUAAGUUAAUAAGGGAAAGAUUUAUUGGUAAGAGAUUAGCCUGUAUUGUAUCAGUUAGUUGGUGGGGUAAUGGCUUACCAAGACUAUGACACAUAACUGGUUUGAGAGGAUGAUCAGUCACACUGGAACUGAGACACGGUCCAGACUCCUACGGGAGGCAGCAGUGGGGAAUAUUGCACAAUGGACGAAAGUCUGAUGCAGCAACGCCGCGUGGAGGAUGACACAUUUCGGUGCGUAAACUCCUUUUAUAUGUGAAGAUAAUGACGGUAUUAUAUGAAUAAGCACCGGCUAACUCCGUGCCAGCCGCCGCGGUAUUAC
rnacentral:rRNA from 1 species